rnacentral:rRNA from 1 species
UUUUUUUUUUUUUUUCUUUCUCUGUCAGAUUGAACGCUGGCGGCAGGCCUAACACAUGCAAGUCGAGCGGAUGAAGGGAGCUUGCUCCUGGAUUCAGCGGCGGACGGGUGAGUAAUGCCUAGGAAUCUGCCUGGUAGUGGGGGAUAACGUCCGGAAACGGGCGCUAAUACCGCAUACGUCCUGAGGGAGAAAGUGGGGGAUCUUCGGACCUCACGCUAUCAGAUGAGCCUAGGUCGGAUUAGCUAGUUGGUGGGGUAAAGGCCUACCAAGGCGACGAUCCGUAACUGGUCUGAGAGGAUGAUCAGUCACACUGGAACUGAGACACGGUCCAGACUCCUACGGGAGGCAGCAGUGGGGAAUAUUGGACAAUGGGCGAAAGCCUGAUCCAGCCAUGCCGCGUGUGUGAAGAAGGUCUUCGGAUUGUAAAGCACUUUAAGUUGGGAGGAAGGGCAGUAAGUUAAUACCUUGCUGUUUUGACGUUACCAACAGAAUAAGCACCGGCUAACUUCGUGCCAGCAGCCGCGGUAAUACGAAGGGUGCAAGCGUUAAUCGGAAUUACUGGGCGUAAAGCGCGCGUAGGUGGUUCAGCAAGUUGGAUGUGAAAUCCCCGGGCUCAACCUGGGAACUGCAUCCAAAACUACUGAGCUAGAGUACGGUAGAGGGUGGUGGAAUUUCCUGUGUAGCGGUGAAAUGCGUAGAUAUAGGAAGGAACACCAGUGGCGAAGGCGACCACCUGGACUGAUACUGACACUGAGGUGCGAAAGCGUGGGGAGCAAACAGGAUUAGAUACCCUGGUAGUCCACGCCGUAAACGAUGUCGACUAGCCGUUGGGAUCCUUGAGAUCUUAGUGGCGCAGCUAACGCGAUAAGUCGACCGCUGGGAGACGCCGACUGG